rnacentral:rRNA from 1 species
CGACCGCUGGCGGCGUGCUUACCACAUGCACGUCGACCGGCAAGGCCCUGCUUUUGUGGGGCGCUCGAGUGGCGAACGGGUGAGUAACACGUGAGUAACCUGCCCUUGACUUUGGGAUAACUUAGGGAAACUGGGGCUAUAACCGGUAAGAGGCUCCUGUGGAUGGGGGGGGGUGGGAAAGUUUCGGCGGUUGGGGAUGGACUCGCGGCUUAUCAGCUUGUUGGUGGGGUAGUGGCUUACCAAGGCUUUGACGGGUAGCCGGCCUGAGAGGGUGACCGGCCACAUUGGGACUGAGAUACGGCCCAGACUCCUACGGGAGGCAGCAGUGGGGAAUAUUGCACAAUGGGCGGAAGCCUGAUGCAGCAACGCCGCGUGCGGGAUGACGGCCUUCGGGUUGUAAACCGCUUUCGCCUGUGACGAAGCGUGAGUGACGGUAAUGGGUAAAGAAGCACCGGCUAACUACGUG